AGAGUUUGAUUCUGGCUCAGAACGAACGCUGGCAGCGUGGAUUAGGCAUGCAAGUCGAACGGAAAGUCGUUGAUCAAUUCUUCGGAAGAGUGAAGCGGCGGAUAGUGGCGGAAGGGUGAGUAACGCGUGGGCAAUUUACCUCUAAGUUGAGGAUAACCCUGCGAAAGUGGGGCUAAUACUGAAUGUGGUCUUUCAAGGCAUCUUGAGAUGAUCAAAGGUGGGGACCUUCGGGCCUGCCGCUUGGAGAGAAGCCCGCGUACCAUCAGCUUGUUGGUAGGGUAACGGCCUACCAAGGCUUACGGUUAGCUGGUCUGAGAGGACGGUCAGCCACACUGGGACUGAGACACUGCCCAGACUCCUACGGGAGGCUGCAGUCGAGGAUCAUUGUCAAUGCGCGAAAGCGUGAACAUGCGACGCUGCGUGGAGGAUGAAAGCCCUAGGGUUGUAAACUCCUGUCAUGAGGGAAAAAUCGUUUUGCCUCUAACAUAGGCGGAAUUUGAUGGUACCUCAAGAGGAAGCCACGGCUAACUCUGUGCCAGCAGCCGCGGUAAUACAGAGGUGGCAAGCGUUGUUCGGAUUUACUGGGCGUAAAGCGUGCGUAGGUGGCUUCGUAUGUCGGAUGUGAAAGCCCGGGGCUCAACCCCGGAAUUGCAUUCGAAACUGCGAGGCUUGAGUGCAGGAGAGGAGAGCGGAAUUCUUGGUGUAGCGGUGAAAUGCGUUGAUAUCAAGAAGAACACCGGUGGCGAAGGCGGCUCUCUGGAAUGUUACUGACACUGAGGCACGAAAGCUGGGGGAGCAAACAGGAUUAGAUACCCUGGUAGUCCCAGCCGUAAACGGUGUGAACUUGGUGUUGGGGGUAUUGACCCCCCCAGUGCCGGAGCUAACGCGUUAAGUUCACCGCCUGGGGAGUACGGCCGCAAGGCUAAAACUCAAAGAAAUUGACGGGGGCCCGCACAAGCGGAGGAGCAUGUGGCUUAAUUCGAUGCAACGCGAAGAACCUUACCAGGGUUUGACAUGGUGCUGCACGCCCCGAGAAAUUGGGGUUCCUUCGAGGGUGCACCACAGGUGCUGCAUGGCUGUCGUCAGUUCGUGCCGUGAGGUGUUGGGUUAAGUCCCGCAACGAACGCAACCCUUGUGCCCAGUUGCCACCGCCGGUGAUAAGUCGGCGAGCACUCUGGGCAGACUGCCCGUACAAGCGGGAGGAAGGUGGGGAUGACGUCAAGUCAGUAUGGCCCUUACGCCCUGGGCUGCACACGUGCUACAAUGGCCGGUACAAUGGGAUGCAAUACUGCGAGGUGGAGCAAAUCCUCAAAACCGACCUCAGUUCGGAUUGGAGUCUGCAACUCGACUCCAUGAAGUUGGAUUCGCUAGUAACGGCGUAUCAGCUACGACGCCGUGAAUACGUUCCCGGGCCUUGUACACACCGCCCGUCACAUCAUGAAAGCCGUCUGCACCCGAAGUCGCUGAGCCAACCCGCAAGGGAGGCAGGUGCCGAAGGUGUUGGUGGUGAUUGGGAUGAAGUCGAAACAAGGUA
rnacentral:rRNA from 1 species